CAUUUUUUAAAAGUUAUACUCAAUUAUAGUUAUUUCAGAAUAUUGGCUAUAUUCCCCAAUGUUAUACAAUAUUUCCUUGUAGCUUAUUUUUAUACCUAAUAGCUUGUACCUCUUUUCCUCCUACCCAUAUAUUGCCGCCCCUACCCGCCAUCUAGCGUACUUAGCUUACCAGUGUGUUGUGGAAACUGAAUCAUUCAAAGGUUGUAAGCAUGCUUUGUAAGUUAUGAGAGGCAACGCAGACAUUUGCUUCUCCUUUCAUACCCCCACUCUUGGUGCGUCAGAGAAGGAACAGAAAAACCGCUGAGCUGGAGACGUUAACAGAUUUCAGAGGAGAGUCGAACAUUCGAGCAAGGGCUGCGAACUGGCUGCUUCUGUGACGUAUUCUGGGUGACGUUCGUCUUGUCUCUUCUGUACACCUUUAGAAGGGGCGAAUCAUUCUAAACAUGGUGGAGGUUCAAGCCAGGCACAUCCUUCACACUGUCUGUAAAGCCCACUGGGAACAGAGCUGGGUCAAAGAGUUGGUUAGCGAACUUGCUGCAGCAGCACGGAGCGCACGAGGGAGGAACUUCCUGCGGAAGUGGCCUGUGUGGGCGGAGUCUGAGGAGGACGGAACCAGGAACCCGGGGUGGACUGGAGGCUGUCGGGAGGGAUGAGUUUGUGUGCUGUAAAUCAUCGUCCCAUUCAGUGUAUUUACUUGGAACUUGGACUUCUGUGUUGACAACAUAAAAAGAAGCUGACUUCCAGUGCUACAAUAUUUUACUGUGAUCUGAGCCUCCCAAGGAUUAAACCUGGAAAAUACAAAUUUAAAAGGCGCCUCCUAUAAACUGUACUGUUAUUUUAAUCAGCACUUCUAUUCACUUUCUUUCUCUUUUUUUGUUUGCCAGCUUUCCUUCUGAUUGUAUCAUAAUAACUGUCUAGACACUGUUCCCAACUGUGAUGGAUUUUAAGAGACUGUACAAAUGAGGCCAGAAAAAAAUAAAUUAGCAGUACUGUGC